UUCAACGGAGUUACAUCUGAUAAACACUUAAAUUUCAAUGAAAAAUAAUUUUACAGUUCGGUUUUGCUAUUGAUAUUUGGUCCCAGGUACUCAUAGAGGUAAUUAACUGUUAUCAGUACCAGGUACUCAUAGAGGUAAUUAACAGUCAGUCCCAGGUACUCAUAGAGGUAAUUAACUGUUAUCAGUACCAGGUACUCAUGGAGGUAAUUAACAGUCAGUCCCAGAUACUCAUAGAGGUAAUUAACUGUUAUCAGUACCAGGUACUCAUAGAGGUAAUUAACUGUUAUCAGUACCAGGUACUCAUAGAGGUAAUUAACUGUUAUCAGUACCAGGUACUCAUAGAGGUAAUUAACUGUUAUCAGUACCAGGUCUUCAUAUAGGUAAUUAACAGUCAGUCCCAGGUACUCAUAGAAGUAACUAACUGUCAGUCCCAGGUACUCAUAGAGGUAAUUAACUGUUAUCAGUACCAGGUACUCAUAGAGGUAAUUAACUGUUAUCAGUACCAGGUACUCAUAGAGGUAAUUAACUGUUAUCAGUACCAGGUACUCAUAGAGGUAAUUAACUGUCAGUCCCAGGUAUUCAUAGAGGUAAUUAACAGUCAGUCCCAGGUACUCAUAGAAGUAACUAACUGUCAGUCCCAGGUACUCAUAGAGGUAAUUAACUGUUAUCAGUACCAGGUACUCAUAGAGGUAAUUAACAGUCAGUCCCAGGUAUUCAUAGAGGUAAUUAACUGUCAGUCCCAGGUACUCAUAGAGGUAAUUAGCUGUUAUACUUUUAGUUGAAUAAAUUUUAAGGAUGUUUGUGUCUGAAACGUACAAAACAGUACAUAUACAAGUUUAUGAAUCCAUUAUCAUAUGAAUGCCUGUCUCCAAAUGCAAAGUAUUUCCUCAUAUCUAAAUGUUUAUUUUUUCUUGUAUGUUGUAUUCAGGUAAUCUUGACCUUUGACAUUAAAAUUUAAAAAUAUUUUUCACAGUCUAAGAAUGAUAAAGAAGUCUAUUAUUUAGCUUAUUCAGUGAAUCUUCUACCAUUGGUUAUAUUGUGACCUUGACUUUUAACCUUUCAAUAAUAUAGAAAAAGGAUUAAUAUCUCUUCAUGAUCAAGGCUAAGCAUUGAAUGAUGUUUCGUGAAUUUAAGAUACAAGAUUGGAACUCCAGUGUUAAUAUGCUGUUAUCUCCAAAGUCAUGACAAGACCAAUGAUUGUGAUUUUGAAGAGACAGGAUACCUAUUCUGUCUUCAAACUUUAAUCUCCUAUGUCAUAUUGUGAUCUUGACCUUUCCACUUUUGACUUUGGAAUUAAUUGAGGACUCCCUAUAGUCAUACUAUCUAACUGCUUCCUAAAGCAGUGGAUUGCACAGACAGUUUGAUGGAAAACAUUAAACAUAAAAACCAAUUUUUUGGCCUCUUAGGUUCCAGACAAAACAGCAUUAUUAUAAAAGGCAUCAUUAUACUGCAGAAUUUACUAUGCCUGUUUACAUAAAACAUCAAACAUGCAAUUAAGAUCAUGAAGAUAAGAAUAUGACACUGAUAAUGUUUAUGUGCAGAUAUAAUAUUGCAAUGUUUUUAAGCUCAGUCAAUGUUCUGUAUGCAACAUAACUUUAUUGCAAACCUAAAUGGUAAUAUUAUUCCUUUUAAAUA